AUGCAAGUCGAGCGAGGUAGCAAUACCUAGCGGCAGACGGGUGAGUAACAUGUGGGAAUCUGCCUUUUGGUUCGGAACAACACAGGGAAACUUGUGCUAAUACCGGAUAAGCCCUUACGGGGAAAGUUUUAAUGCCAAAAGAUGAGCCCGCACUUGAUUAGCUAGUUGGUAAGGUAAUGGCUUACCAAGGCAACGAUCAAUAGCUGUUCUUAGAGGAAGACCAGCCACAUUGGGACUGAGACACGGUCCAGACUCC
rnacentral:rRNA from 1 species